rnacentral:rRNA from 1 species
UAUCAAACCUGCCUCAUACUCGGGGAUAGCCUUGCGAAAGUAAGAUUAAUACCCGAUGUAGUUAUGUUACCGCAUGGUGAUAUAACCAACGGAUCGUCGGUAUGAGAUGGUGAUGCGUCCGAUUAGGUAGUAGGCGGGGUAACGGACCACCUAGCCAUCGAUCGGUAGGGGUUCUGAGAGGAAGGUCCCCCACACUGGAACUGAGACACGGUCCAGACUCCUACGGGAGGCAGCAGUGAGGAAUAUUGGUCAAUGGACGGAAGUCUGAACCAGCCAAGUAGCGUGCAGGAUGACGGCCCUCUGGGUUGUAAACUGCUUUUAGUUGGGAAUACAAAAGAGGACGUGUCCUCUAUUGUAUGUACCUUCAGAAAAAGGACCGGCUAAUUCCGUGCCAGCAGCCGCGGUAAUACGGAAGGUCCAGGCGUUAUCCGGAUUUAUUGGGUUUAAAGGGAGCGUAGGCGGAUUACUAAGUCAGUGGUGAAAGACGGUGGCUCAACCAUCGUUAGCCAUUGAAACUGGUAGUCUCGAGUGCAGACAGGGAUGCUGGAACUCGUGGUGUAGCGGUGAAAUGCUUAGAUAUCACGAUGAACUCCAAUCGCGAAGGCAGGUGUCCGGGCUGCAACUGACGCUGAGGCUCGAAAGUGUGGGUAUCAAACAGGAUUAGAUACCCUGGUAGUCCACACAGUAAACGAUGUAUAC